UCCAUGGUAGCUCAGUUGGUAAAGAAUCUGCCUGCAGUGCAGAAGACCCAGGUUCAGUCCCUGAGUCUGGAA
rnacentral:tRNA from 1 species